CACAGAGAGAGAGGGAGAGAGAGAAUACAUAAAUACACGGUCUGUCCUAUGACUAUGGGUAUGUCAAAACUGUUGAAGCCUGUGUGGCUGUUAAGACAGGGAUGUGUGACACUUUGUAAUGUGACAGAGAGAGAGAGCAGAAUAUCCUGUACAGUUGUUUUUAGAGAGAGAGAGCGAGAGAGAGAGAAUAUCCUGUACAGUUGUUUCGAGAGAGAGAGAGAGAGAGAGAGAGAGAGAGAGAAUAUCCUGUACAGUUGUUUUGAGCGAGAGAAUAUCCUGUACAGUUGUUUUGAGAGAGAGAAUAUCCUGUACAGUUGUUUUGAGAGAGAAUAUCCUGUACAGUUGUUUUGAGAGAGAGAGAGAGAAUAUCCUGUACAGUUGUUUUUAGAGAGAGAGCGAGAGAGAGAGAAUAUCCUGUACAGUUGUUUUGAGAGAGAGAGAAUAUCCUGUACAGUUGUUUUGAGAGAGAGAGAGAGAGAAUAUCCUGUACAGUUGUUUUGAGAGAGAGAGAGAAUAUCCUGUACAGUUGUUUUGAGAGAUAGAGAGAGAGAGAGAAGAAUAUCCUAUACAAUUGUUUUGAGAGAGAGAGAGAGAGAGAGACAGCAGAAAAUAACAAGACACUAUUAACACCUACCAGGAAGCAACAACCUUUCCCUCCCCACAUACCCCCACAGAAACAACUAUGACAAAGUGAAAAACAAAAACGGAGUACAGCUCGUGAAGCUCUGUGGAACACUGGGUCUGUACAUAGUCAAUGGUAGGCUGAGAGGGGACUCUUUUGGUAGGUACACCUACAGCUCAUCCCUUGGCAGCAGCACUGUAGACUACUUCCUCACCGACCUAAACCCAGAGUCUCUCAGAGCCUUCACAGUCAGCCCACUAACACCUAUCUCAGACCACAGUAAAAUCACAGUAUAUCUGAGAAGAGCAGAACCCAACCAUGAAGCAUCACGGCCCAAUAUGGUAUUUGAAAUGAAAUGAUAAAAUAUUAAGACCACAAAUUCAAAUUGGCUAUACUCAAACUCUUCAACAUUUUCCCUGAUAUUUUGGUACCAGGGAUUGAUCGCACCAAUCUAUAAAAAUGGAGACAAAUUUUACCAAAAUAAUUGCAGAGGAUUUUGCGUAAACAGCAACUUGGGGAAAAUUCUCUGCAGUAUUAUAAAUAGCAGACUACAUAAUUUCCUUGACGAACACAAAAUCCUGAGCAGGAGCCAGAUUGGAUUUCUAAAAAAUGAUCGUACAACAGACCACAUUUACACCCUCCACACUCUAAUUGAUAAACAAGUAAACCAAAACAAAGGCAAAAUCUACUUGUGUUUUGUAGAUUUCAAGAAAGCAUUCGAUUCAAUUUGGCACAAUGGUCUUUUUUAUAAACUAAUAGCAAGUGGUAUUGGAGGGAAAACAAAUGAUUUUAUUAAAUCAAUGUACACUAAAAACAAAUGUGCAUUUAAAAUUGGCAACAAGCAAACAGACUUCUUCUCUCAGGAACGUGGAGUGAAACAGAGCUGCCCAAUAAGUCCAACAGUAUUUAACAUCUACAUUCAUUAAUUGGCAAAAACAUUAGAAGAAUCGGCAGCACCUGGUAUCACCCUACACAACACUGAAAUCAAGUGUCUGCUGUACGCAGAUGACCUGGUGCUGCUGUCUCCCACUAAAGAGGGGCUACAGGAGCACCUAGAUCAUCUUCACAGGUUCUGGCAAACCUGGGCUCUGACCAAAAAUAAAUAUAUAUAUAAUGAUAUUACAAAAAAGGCCCGACAUAAAGGAUGACAAAUAUACAUUAUAUUUGGACACAGUUCUAUUAGAACACACCAAAAACAACACAUAUCUAAGAUUAAAUAUCAGCAACACGGGUAGCUUUCACAUGGCUGUGAAUGAGCUGAGAGACGAAGCAAGAAGAGCAUUCUAUGCCAUUAAAAGGAACAUCAAAAUCUAAAUUCCAAUUAGAAUCUGGCUCAAACUUUUUCACUCAGUUAUAGAACCAAUUGCUCUAUAUGGCAGUGAAGUAUGGGGUCCAAUCUCUAAUAAUUAAUUUACCAAAUGGGACAAAAAUCCAAUUUUGCAAGACUGUAUUGCAAGUGCAAAAAAAACCCUCCAAAUAACGCAUGUAGAGCAGAAUUGGGCCAAUACCCCCUCCUCAUUCAAAUAGAAAAAAGAGACAUCAAAUUUUACACUGCAAAUUUUACGCUGCAUAUUGGUCCGAUCCUUGUUUCACCUCUUCAGAGGAAGAGGAGGAAAUCUGCCGUGACAACACCUACUAUUAUUAUUGCUGUUGGUCCCACCAUUUAUUUAUAUAUAAAUUUAUAUUUUUAUUUUUCGAUAUGUAUACUUUGACAAUGUAAGUAAUAAUGCACUUGCCAUGUCAAUAAAGUCAAAUUGAAUAUAUAUACAUAGAGAGAGAGAGAGUAGAAUAUCCUGUACAGUCAUUUUGAGAAAGAGAUGAGCGUUGUAGACUAUUCUUCAUUUCCCUAUUUUCCUUUUAUUUCACAACUGUGUUGGCAGUGAUGUCUUCAACAGGGUGUGGUGAACACACUGUACACACAUCAGUGGGCAUGUUAAAGCAGGUACAUCUCCUACCAACAUCUGGCUAUUCACUCAGAGAGAGUAUUAUAUGGGUUCAGCGUACACUCAUGUUGAAUGGAUACUAAAUGUCAGCUUUGAUAAGAUUGUGAUGUUGACACACAGGAAAAUGUUUCCCCAAGGGGACAGAAAGAGAAAGAGCCUGAAAGGACACAAAACUGUAGCUCUAGAGUUAUGAGUAUCUUUCUAAAUAAGACUCCAAAGCAGUGCAUGGAUGGCUAGAGCAACGAUCAACUUAAUGAAAACACAUUUUCUAUUGACUAUUUUAAGGGCCUUUUAAGUGACAAAUAAAGUAAGGAUUUCACCCCCCCCCCUUGUGAUGGGGAAUAGAAUCUUGUUUUGUGCAACAGGGAGGGGCAAUUGAAUGCAAGCUUAACACAAAAAAAAUGAAGGUAAAAUGUCAAUUGUUUAAAACAUUUCUAGCCUGUCGAUCUAUGGGUAACAGGGUUGAUGUUUUAUGCUCGACCCGUUCAGUUUUCCACAACAAAACACCAGAAAAUGACCCAAAAGAACCAGCUCAGCUGCUUUUACACUGUGAUUUGACUAUUAGAUGUUCAAUGUUUCUUUUGAAACAAAUGUUUUAAAAGGUGCAGUUUCACCAUAUUAAAACAGUUCAGUUCACUUAACAGGGUGGACCUUAAAAUCUUGGACCUUAAAAACAUGCUCUUCUCCCGUGAGGUGAAAACAUGCUCUUCUCCCGUGAGGUGAAAACAUGCUCUUCUCCUGUGAGGUGAAAACAUGCUCUUCUCCCGUGAGGUGAAAACAUGCUCUUCUCCCGUGAGGUGAAAACAUGCUCUUCUCCCGUGAGGUGAAAACAUGCUCUUCUCCCGUGAGGUGAAAACAUGCUCUUCUCCCGUGAGGUGAAAACAUGCUCUUCUCCUGUGAGGUGAAAACAUGCUCUUCUCCCGUGAGGUGAAAACAUGCUCUUCUCCCGUGAGGUGAAAACAUGCUCUUCUCCUGUGAGGUGAAAACAUGCUCUUCUCCCGUGAGGUGAAAACAUGCUCUUCUCCCGUGAGGUGAAAACAUGCUCUUCUCCCGUGAGGUGAAAACAUGCUCUUCUAAUGUGAGGUGAAAACAUGCUCUUCUCCCGUGAGGUGAAAACAUGCUCUUCUCCUGUGAGGUGAAAACAUGCUCUUCUCCCGUGAGGUGAAAACAUGCUCUUCUCCCGUGAGGUGAAAACAUGCUCUUCUCCCGUGAGGUGAAAACAUGCUCUUCUCCCGUGAGGUGAAAACAUGCUCUUCUCCUCACAUGAGAAAAGGUGGUGUUAACAUAACUUAAGCUCAACUUGCAAAAACAGCCAUUUCAACUACACAUUUCACAUGUUUUUGUUGUUGUAAGGGAGGAUGCCAUGAGUACUGAUUAGAUCGAGAGUAUUACUCAUUAAAAACAGCUAAUUGACAAUCACUACUGAAGCAGGGGCCCAGAGGGUCAUGGGGGCAUUGGGUGAGAGGGGCCAGGGGUGAAGGGUAAGGUGUUUUGGGGAGUGUAUUUGAGUUCAGUCUAGCUCUGCUCUCAUCUCUGGGUCAAAAGCAUCGCCUCUCCAUCCUUGCCAUUAUUAUGUAAACAAUAUAAUGAGAUAGCCCUGCACAUACAGGCCCACAGAUCAAACAUGUUGCCUGCUUCCCAAAUCGCACACUGUUCCCUAUUUAGUGCAGUACUUUUAAAAAGGGCCCAUAGAGCUCAAAAGUAUUGCACUAUAUAGGGAAUAUGGUGCCAUUUGAAAUGCACACGUUGUCUGAUUUGAUCUCUAAACAAGCUAACAGAGGCUCAAGUGCAAUUGGUUGUUCUUCAAAACACAGGUUAGGGCUGUGAUACUGUGAAUGUUGCUGAGGCCUAGAAAAGGGAGCUGUUUAACUGACAGCAUCACAAUAAUACACUUCAGCUAUUUGGUCAGGUGGCAGUUGUGCAACGGUUGAGUUUUUAUCAGCCUAACAUUGCCACAUACACAUGCACGCGUUUCAAAUGCACGUACGUAGAACACAUACUCGCGCGCGCGCGCACACACACACACAAGCACACUCUUCUCUCCUGAAGGGCCAUUGUCUGUUUUAUGAUGGUGCCUACAGGGUUUUACUGAAAGACAGCAAACAGUCCCAACUCUCUGUGAAGCCCAUAAACCAUCCACAGGACAUCCUUUGUGAGCUUCGCAGCUUUAUAAACUGUUUCUGUUUGUUAAGAGGGCAGGGGGCCUCAUCAGCAACAUACAGUCAUUCGUAAAGUAUUCAGGCCCCUUGACUUUCCCCACAUUUUGUUAUGUUACAGCCUUAUUCUAACAUGGAUUCAAUUGUUUAUUUCCCCCUCAUCAAUCUACAGACAAUGUCCCAUAACAACAAAGCAAAAACAGGUUUAAUUAAAAUGUAUAUAAAAAAAACUGAAAUAUCACAAUUCCAUAAGUAUUCAGACCCUUUACUCAGUACUCUGCUGAAGCACCUUUGGAAGUAUUUACAGCCUCGAGUUUUCUUGACGCUAUAAGCUUGGCACACCUGUAUUUGGGGAGUUUCUCCCAUUCUUCUCUGCAGAUCCUCUCAAGCUCUGUCAGGUUGGAUGGCGAGCGUCGCUGCACAGGUAUUUUCAGGUCUCUCCAGAGAUGUUCGAUUGGCCACCGGCCCAAACUGCCAGGACACCAACCCUCCA